AACCAAUAGACUUCUGUAUGAGAUUCUAGCACCAAAUUUCUCGAUUUGGCCUGCACCGAUCUCAUACAUGAAGUUUGUGCGUUUGAAAUAAUCAAUAAAUCCUGCACAGAUAAAAUCUUUUGGGUUCACAUAUAUAUGAGGUAUCCACGAUGCUGUUUUUGAUUUGUCUUCUUGAUCCUGUAAUAAUUUAAGACAAACUUUGCUUAUAAGAAAAUCAACCAUAAUCUCGUAAGGGGAUGAAAAAUUUGACUAAUAAGAUGAAUUCUUAAUGACUCAACUACUAUGGUUGAUUAAACAAGUUAUCUUGACUCAUAAAGAUGAUUUUAGAUUACCUGGAGAUGGGUUAUGGCCAUGGCAAUGUUGCCUUUGACAACACUCUUGGCGAUUUGAAACAUAUCUUUAAGAAAAUGUCCUCCAGGUAGCUGCUCUAGAGGAAUAGAGGAGAUGGGUGGGUUGAAUAUGUAACUUUCGAGGAGGGAACCAAAACUUGUCAUGGUCUUUCCAGCAAGCAAAACUAGGGCAGCUCCCAAAGAGUGUCCAGCAAGCCAUAUAGCUGAUUCGCUAUGUUCGUCCACCAUACUACGGAUUUUUUCAACAGCGUACUUGGACCUGCCACCUCGAUGAAGGUUGUUGAAGAUGAUUUUGAGGUUAAGUUUCAUGUCAGACUUCCAAGUUUUUCGUUUUAGAACCGUGCCGCGAAAGGCAAUCACAUAGCGUGGAACUUUUACAUUUGGGCUGUUUUGGUAAACGUUGUAGCUCUUGUAUUCGAAAACGGCACCAAAUAUAGUUUUGUCAUCGUCGGUCAAGGUAUCCAUCAAAUCGAAUUCGAAAAAUUCCCACCAAGGAUUAGCUAGAAGUUGCGGAGCACUCCGCAAGCCAAGUUUGUACCUUUUUUUGCUGCUGAGAAGCCUAUCCCUUUCUAAUAUGUACACUCCAUUUACCAAACAUGAUACCACUGUGGUUCGGUGGUGCGAAUUGGUCCUAUUUAAAAUAAAAUUAGAACCAAUCAAUUAUACUUGAAUCAGUUACGAGAUAAGAUUUUUUUUUUUAUAUGCCAUUUGGAGCUUUUGUCCUUUGUUCUUACACGUAAAAACACAACUCAAAAUAUUAUGCUUGCGUUUAUUAGGUUCCAUUUUUUUUAGAAUAUAGUUUUUGUUAUUAAAUUUAUCUUUAUGAAUUUUUUUUUUCUCUCAAUUGUUAUCUAUAUGAAUAUAGGUAAUUUCAAAAGCAAAAGGGUAAAAAAAUGGUUAGACACGAAUAGCUUUUUGUACAAUAAUCUCAUGAUGAUACUUAGAAUCUGCUUAAAUAAUGUUUUUAACUUUAAAUGAGUACAUCAUCUGUAUAUGUAUCAUCGAUACUGAUUUGCGAACUUUUUAUACUUUUGAAACUCCUGCAUGCGGCACAUGAGUUAAUAUAGUUUGAAUAUAUUAAAAAUUUUCCAUCGUCGAUCAAUUAUAAAAAUCUUUGUAACACCGUAAAAUUAUAGAAACUGUUAUAUAAUUUGUUUUAUAUAUAAUUUUAAAAGGAAGUAUAAAAAAUGUUACCAAUCAAUAGAUUUGAGAUGGGAUGGGCCAGAAGUGUAGAAAUCAUCAUCUGUAUCUGAAGCCUUCAGUCCUCGUCCCAUUUCUUUUUCUCGUCCUCUCUUCUUCUUUUGCUAUAGCAGAAAAUAAUAGAAAAUGGUGGAAAUAAGCAAAACAAAAGUGAAGAAAACAAACUAAAGAGUUCUUUUUUUUUUUGUUCUUAAGAGUUUAACAAAGAAACUAAUGAUUUUAUAUUGGUGCUACAAAGUACGAGUAAAAGAAGACUUUUUUGGAUCCGGAGACUUUGAGAUUGCAGAGACGUACGUAGCUGCCUAGCAAAUGGAUGAAAUGGGAUCCACUCUCGAAUUGGAACACUUCUGUAGUCUCAGAAGUCGUCGUUGGUGGGUUCUAUGUUAUUAUUCUAAUUCAAGGAAUUGUCGAGGAAGCUUUAAAGAUAGUUUUUGGAAUUUUCUUUUGUUCACUUAUAGUCAACUUCGUCGGAAAAAAAGACUAAAAAUGGAAUUUAGUCAGAUAUUAUUGUAAAAGAAUAAAAAACAUAAUAUUGAUAAAACUGGUUAGGUUUGUAAAAACACUUAUCAGAUAAAUUUUGUUUUGUAUAAUUCAGAUAUCGUGUUUCGUAUUUGACAUGUUUUAUGUCCACUGUGAUAGAGUAAAAUAUAAAAACUCUAUUUAUCCUAUUUUAAUACAAAGCUAACCAAUUAUUAUUCUACAUGGUAUAAGUUUUUCAUUUGUAAGUUGCACACUACGUACAAGGGCCAUAUUCUUUUUUCACUUCACUAUCAUGUAUUAUCUGUAAUAUUGUUUUAAGAGGGUCCGUAUUUAUGUAGAAUAGAGACAUAUUUUUUGGGAUGUACUUAAGAUCCAAAAUUGAAGAUAGAACUUUCUUCAUUUUAUCAUAGGUCUGAAAUAUUUGAUGACUUUUCUCAAGUCAAGUCAUGUGUAACUUUACUUAUCUGUACAAAUUAAACUAGUUGACCAAAAAAAACAAAAAAUAGAACAGCCAUUAUGGUUGUCUGAAAGCGUGAUGAUAGAUUUAUUAUACUACAUAUGUAGUGGUUGCUAUAUCUUAUAAGGUCAAAAAUUGUUUUCCAAACACAUUGUUACGGCUUUAAAAGAAUAAUGGGCGUUUUCUAUUUGAUAAAAGAUUUGUGUUCUUUCUGUGAGGUUUUUUUUUAACACACACAAAGAUUUAUAUAGCGUGUAUAAACAAAUCCAAUACAACUAUUGAGACAAAUUAAACCUUUUACCCAAAAAAAGAAAAAAAUAUUGACACAAAGAAAAAAUAAUUUUGUACAUUAUUUCGAUGAACUAAUCCAAUAUAUAUGUCGUGGUGGCUUUCUGUGAGUUUAUAUAUUGAUUGUUCUUACAAUUCCUCUGUAUAAUAAAUUAAUUCAACUAGGUAAUUAAUUUUUAUUUUUUUCUUUGUCAGCUAGGUAAAUAACUUUUACGUGUGAACAUCAAAACACUUUAUCUUGUACGUACAAACAUUUGAGGAUAUUUUUAUCAAAAGAGAAAGAAACAAAAAAAUUGAAAAUAUACUGAAGCGUUGAACAAAGUAUAGAGUUGACAAGAAAGAGAAAAGACUAAAGCGUUGAAAGCCAUGAACGAAAUUAGUAUUGAAUCAUUCGUUCACUGGAAAUAGUUGAAGCAUAGGAUUCCACCAUUGAUGAAUCCCAUGAUUUUCAUGAAUGUCCGACGAUACAGUCUUGUUUAUCCACAUAAUGACGGAUGGAAGAAAAUGAAGAUGAUCUGAUGGUUCUUCUCUUCCGAAACUCGAACACUUACGCCUAACUGAGUAUGCAGCAGCCAAGUUCGCGAUCUUACCGAGUCCCACCUUUGUCAUUUUGACUAUGUGUUUGGAAUUACCAAUAUAUUCUGAGCUUAUCGGAUCUGAUUGGUUCACAAACAAAUAAGGUUUCCAAGAAGCUAAAUUCUUAUAUUGUUGACCUUCUUGAUCCUGUAACAAUUGGAGGUAAGAAUUGAGAAUAACCUUUUAAAAAUCGUUAAGGAUUAUUUAUAUAAAGCUGUUUAUGUUAUGGGAGAUAUUAUUUCUGAACAAGUACCACAAGUAUAAUAUAAAGUUUCUUAUAGACUAAAGAUACCAUUGGUAAAAUUCUGGAAUUUUUCACUGUUAACCAAAAAGAAAACUUUAUAGAUACCUCAUCAAAGGAUAAGACUUUCGCCAUGCCAGCUUUGAAGAUAUCCCUGGUGAAUCGAUACGUGAAAUUAAGUGUGUCAUUGAAACCCAAGUGCUCUAGAGGAAUCAAGGAGAUAGGUGGGUUGAAGAUGUAAGCCUCAAGAAAAAGUCCAGACUUGGCCAUGGUCUUUCCCGCGAGUAGUGCUAGGGCAGCUCCUAGAGAAUGUCCAGCGAUCCAGACAGUUGUGUUUCCAAUUUUGGACACGAAAGAUUGGAUUUCUUCAACGAUAUGCAUAGAUUUAUCCCCCUUCUGGAGGAUCUCGAAUGGUAAACGGGAGUUUUGCAUCAGAUCAUUAACAGCAAAAACACUUAGGACAGUUCCGCGUAAAGCAAUCACGUAACGCGGAGGUACGAUCGAGUUGGGGGUAAUCUCAUAAUUGAUCAUGUUUUGGAAGACAGCACCGUAUAUGGAGACGUCAGUUCGGUCCGUGAAUUUGUGGAUUAAAGUGAAGUUGAAACUCUCCCACCAAGGUGGGGCUAAUGACUCGGAACCAAUUCGGUUGUCUUGCCUAUCUCGUUCCAUUGCGUAAACUCCUUGCACCAAACACGACAUCAAUGAGGUUCGGUGGUGAAAAUUGUUCCUAUAUAAGAAACAAACCAAUUCAGACCAUAGAAACGAUCGAGUAGAUCGAUUUGGAUAUUGUCUCUUUCUUUUUUUUUUGUAUCAUUAUGAAAUGUAUUAGAUGAAACGAAAUUUACCAGUCAAAAUAUGGAAUUCGAGGGGGACCAUUACGGCUUAGAGCGUCACUGCGCGAUGAGUCGAGGAUUCCCAUCAGCUCCUCUUUCACACUUUCGUCUUCAAAUUCUUCUGAUUGCUUAUAUGUAAGUAUUGUAAUCAAUCCGCGUACUAAAUACAAAAAAAAAAAAAAUUGGAUGUAACUAAUAGAAAUAUAUAUUAACUUAAAACAUAUUUAAAUAUAAAACUGAAAGUGUAUAGUGGAAUUAGUGAAAUUUAUAAACAGAAUUGAAUCUAAUGGAGUCACAGGUAUGUCAGGGUUUGGAUUCUGAAAGGCCGUCGAGCAUAAUCGAAUUCAACCGGAUAUGAUGAAGUACACUAAAAAAAUCAUUUCCACCAAACAAGAAUUAUAGAGAGUUCAUGUACAUUUUUGCAGAAACAACUUUUAGGUAUAUAACUAUAUAUAGAGAAAUAGCAAAUAGGUAACCGCAUAGGCAUAAAAAUGAUGUCAUAAAAGUGAUGUCAUAAAUAUAUAGUACUAGUUUGACUGUUUGAGGAAUGGUCGAGGAAGUUUAGAAAAAGUUAUAGAAAUUUUACUUUGCUCACACAUUAUUGAGUCAAAUAAAAAACUUGGAAAAUUUUAGUCAGCAGAAUUCUUAGAUAACAAAAGACAUAAUGUUGCUGAAAUUGGUUUGGUUACUAAUUUUUUUUUCAAUGAAAUUUGUUUUAUCUUAAUUUAAUUAAAGUACUAUAGUAUAUUGACAUGUUUAGUGACCAUUUUGAUAAACUGAAAUAUAAAACUAUAAAUAUAUUACGUUUGAUGCAAACUUAUAUAACCAAUUAUUCAAAAUAUGUUUAAUGUUACUAUAGCACAUUUAGAAUAUGUACAUCUAUACUUUUAUUGAUUUUAAAAUUAUACAUGUGGAUUAAACAAAAUCCAUAAACAAACAAAUUUAUAGAUUAUCAGUAGAAAUUUAUUCAAAAAAUAUUCAGUAUUAUCAUUGCAAGUUGCAACACAAGGUCCAGUGUGGGGGUGCAUGCAUAGUUUCUUAGAGGGUCCGAAUGUCGUCGAACGAAUAAUAAAGACAUAUUCUUGGGAAGUAGUAAGAUCCACACAGUGAAGAUAAAACUUUCUUCCUUCUAUGGACUUCUCUCUUUCCUAUGGUCACGUACUCUUGCUUGUUGCCAACACACUAGUCCAAAUCAUCAACAUGACGAGGAUUUAAAAUUCCUCCGAAGACUAGUCCAAAUCAUUAUUUGCUUUACCAAUUUUGUUUAUUCACCAAAUUCUCAAAGAUAGAAAAUCAUAAAACAUUUUUUUUUUAUCAAGAGAUGUGAAUUAUAUCUUUAAAACAUCUUAUUUUUAUAAUCACAUGGAAGUUUCUCAAUAAGGUAACCUAACUAUCAAAAACAAGUAUCCACUUUUAUUGCUUCGUUAAGUUUAGUUCUAGAAUUUAGUUAGUUAGCUAACUAGCCCUUUAAGUGACUACUUAUAACUUUAAGCAGACAACACUUAACAUAAUAUUUGAGUUAUAUUAUCUUUGUUGUAAAAAUUAAAGUAGUUUUAAGAAGAAUAUAAUUAUCAACAAUUACAUGAAAAAAAAAAUCAAAAACAUGGGAAGAAAAAGACAUACAUGAAAUAGAAGACAACAAAAAAAAAAGUAGAAGAAAUGGAAAAGAUCACUUGAACAAGAUACAAAAGCUGAUUAUCCUAACCAAAUACAAUAUAUCCAGCACAUAUUGGAUCUGCUGGGUUUACAUAUAAAUAUGGUAUCCACGAUGUUGUUUUGGGAUCGUCUUCUUUAAGCUGUAAUAAUUUAAGACAAACAGUUUCUUGUUAGAAAAUCAGCCAAAAUCAACAUAUAUUGAAACUGUGUUAGUUAACUAUUUAAAGGAGAUAAGUCAGCCGAUAUCGUGGUAGUGACGGAACAUCAUAGUUGAGUAAUAUGACAUCGUCUCUUGAGUUUAGGAUUCUUAAAUCAAGAAUUGCUAAAGCAAACACUUAUCGAAUCUUCAAUUCGAGAACCCUAAACUCACCAAACGUUUUACUCAACUCCGAUAUCCCGUUAAUGUGACGGUGUCGGUUGACUCAUCGCCGUUAAGUGGUUAACUAAUAUUGUUUUGGUAUAUGUUGAUUUUGGCUAAUUUCAUAUAGUUUAGGUUGAGAAUUUUAUUUUUUUGAGUUUAGUUUGCUAUUUGUCGGGUAUAGUAGUUUGGGUAUAAAAGUACCGCCAACAAGGUUGAUUUUCGUUAUUUUCCCCACAUGUUGUAUCACGAGAUGGGUUUGUAUAGAUAUUACUAAAAUAUUAAGAUAUCAUUAAUCAUUUACUUCUGAACAGGUUAAAACUUCAUUAUACUAACCAAUAUGAGCUAGACAUGAAUUAAGUUUGAUAUUAUGCAAUCAUAAUGUUUUUUAAACAAAUUCUAGCAUAAUUGAAUUUAAAAAAAUAAGUUGUUAAAAUCUAGUAUCAUAUUUAAUAAGUUAUGUAAUUAACAGAAAAAUAUUUGAAUACAAAAUAUGCUCACGUAAAUGUAGGAUGAGGAUCCAACCAAGACCAGAGUAUAGCGUAUAAAAUUAGAUUUUCAAUUCAUUUGUACUUUUUUUUUUGGUUUUUUUUUUUUGUGAAAACCAGUUUAAAACAGUUACAUGGAAAUUCAAACAAAAAAAAAAUUGAAAGAAAGAAAAAAUUACUUAUAAUGUCAAUUGCUUUAGCUUUUCCAUUUUGUGAGAUCUAAUGCGAUAGCUUUCCCAAUUUACCCUCACGGCCGGGUUUGCCUCCCACCACUGGUGAAGCGCAUGAGCUGGCGUAGACUUAGUCGGUUCGUUAUUAUUUACAGUCAUUGCUGCUGAUGGAAGAACGUAAAGAGGUUCUUUUGACAAUUUCGAAGGUGGCGGUGAUCUCAUUACUUUUCCGACCAAUAGACUUGCAUAUGAGACGCCAGCAGCAAGUAUCUCGAUUCCGCCUGCACCAAUCUUAGACAUGAAGCUUCUGUGUCUAAGGUAAUGAAUAUAUCCUAAACAGAUUGGAUCAUUGUGGUUCACAUAUAUGUGAGGUAUCCACAAUGCUGUUUUUGAUUUGUCUUCUUGAUCCUGUAAUAAUUUAAGACAAACUUUUCUUAUAAGAAAAUCAACUACAAAAAAAAAACUCAUUCAUUAUAGUAUCGCAAGUGGAUGAAACUCUGACUAUAAUGACUCAACUGUCAUAGUUAAUUAAACCGGUUAUCUUGACUCUUACAGAUGAUUUAAAGUUUACCUG
rnacentral:lncRNA from 1 species